AACGAACGUUGGCGGCGUGGAUUAGGCAUGCAAGUCGAGCGAAUCCCAGCAAUGGGGGAAGCGGCGAAAGGGGCAGUAAGGCAUGGGUAACCUACCCUGGGGACUGGGAUAGCCCUUCGAGAGAAGGGGUAAUACCGGGCGACGUGCCGAGGAGGCAUCUCCUUGUCACCAAAUGAGUUUCGCCCUGGGAGGGGCCCAUGUGAUAUUAGCUAGUUGGUGGGGUAACGGCCCACCAAGGCGAAGAUGUCUAGCGGGUGUGAGAGCACGACCCGCGCCACUGGCACUGAGACACUGGCCAGACACCUACGGGUGGCUGCAGUCGAGGAUCUUCGGCAAUGGGCGCAAGCCUGACCGAGCGACGCCGCGUGUGCGAUGAAGGCCUUCGGGUUGUAAAGCACUGUCGAGAGGGAGAAAAGCGAAAGCUUGAUCUAUCUCUGGAGGAAGCACGGGCUAAGUUCGUGCCAGCCGCCGCAGUAAAAC
rnacentral:rRNA from 1 species